rnacentral:tRNA from 1 species
GGCGGUGUAGCUCAGCUGGUUAGAGCGUCGGAAUCAUAAUCCGCAGGUCCGGGGUUCGAAUCCCUGCGCCGCUACCA